AUACGUAGGGAGCAAGCGUUGUCCGGAAUUACUGGGCGUAAAGGGCGUGUAGGCGGGAAUUUAAGUAAGGUGUGAAAACUCCGGGCUCAACCUGGAGACUGCACUUUAAACUGAAUUUCUUGAGGGCAGGAGAGGAAAGUGGAAUUCCUAGUGUAGCGGUGAAAUGCGUAGAUAUUAGGAGGAACACCAGUGGCGAAGGCGACUUUCUGGACUGUACCUGACGCUGAGGCGCGAAAGCGUGGGGAGC
rnacentral:rRNA from 1 species